AGCCUUUGGAAUCCGUGCUGAGAUUUCGUCUAACACUAACCCAUUUGGGCUGAUCAGGCUUCCAAGAUAAGUGAAGUU
rnacentral:pre_miRNA from 1 species